rnacentral:lncRNA from 1 species
CAAACUCUCUAAAAAUGCCUAGAAUGAAGGAUUUUGCACCAUUCAUUUCAUACCCUCGGCUCAAUUAUUUUGCCUCACUAAAAUAAGAUGCCUAGCAACGGCCUUGUUACCGGUAUUACAGAGACGGUGUUGCCACUUUGAACAUUGCUCACACUGAAGAGCAUGCUGUCGAGGUCUAACAUGUUGGUCACAUACCAAACAAUAAAAAGCCAUUGUGAUAUUAAAACAAACGCAUUCUGUCUUCUCUUUUAUAGAAAGGAUUCGGCAAAUCAAAC